rnacentral:rRNA from 1 species
CCCUUAGAUGUUCUGGGCCGCACGCGUGCUACACUGAGUGGAUCAGCGGGUCAGGUUGCGCGAAAGCGUUUCCUAAUCUUUAAAUCCGCUCGUGAUGGGGAUUGACGGUUGCAAUUUUCUGUCAUGAACGAGGAAUACCUUGUAAGCGCGGGUCAUCAUCCCGCGCAGAAUACGUCCCUGCCCUUUGUACACACCGCCCGUCGCUCCUACCGAUUGAGUGGUCCGGUGAGGCUUUGGGAUCUGAGCGGAAAGAGCGUUUCGCUGUUUCUGCUCGGAAAACUCAGUCGAACCUUAUCAUUUAGAGGAAGGAGAAGUCGUAACA